GCGUGGGUGAAGAAGGCCCUCGGGUCGUAAAGCCCUUUCGGCGGGGACGAUGGUGACGGUACCCGCAGAAGAAGCCCCGGCCAACUUCGUGCCAGCAGCCGCGGUAAUACGAAGGGGGCUAGCGUUGCUCGGAAUGACUGGGCGUAAAGGGCGCGUAGGCGGCGCCGCAAGUCGGGCGUGAAAGCCCCGGGCUCAACCCGGGGACGGCGCCCGGGACUGCGGGGCUGGAGGACGGGAGAGGGCCGCGGAAUUCCCAGUGUAGAGGUGAAAUUCGU
rnacentral:rRNA from 1 species